AGGACGAACGCUGGCGGCGUGCUUAACACAUGCAAGUCGAGCGGAAAGGCCCUUCGGGGUACUCGAGCGGCGAACGGGUGAGUAACACGUGAGCAACCUGCCCUUGGCUCUGGGAUAGCCUCCGGAAACGGGGAUUAAUACCGGACAUUCACUUCCUUCCGCAUGGUUGGCGGUGGAAAGUUUUUCGGCCAGGGAGGGCUCGCGGUCUAUCAGCUUGUUGGCGGGGUAACGGCCCACCAAGGCGACGACGGAUAG
rnacentral:rRNA from 1 species